GACAGAGGGUGCGAACGUUGCUCGGAAUGACUGGGCGUAAAGCGCGUGCAGGCGGCUCUGCAAGUCCGAUGUGAAAGCCCAGGGCUCAACCCUGGAAGUGCAUUGGAAACUACGGAGCUCGAGUCCUGGAGAGGAGAGCGGAAUUCCAGGUGUAGCGGUGAAAUGCGUAGAUAUCUGGAGGAACACCGGUGGCGAAGGCGGCAUCCUGGACCGGUAUUGACGCUGAGGCGCGAAAGCCAGGGGAGCAAACGGG
rnacentral:rRNA from 1 species